rnacentral:rRNA from 1 species
UACGUAGGUGGCAAGCGUUGUCCGGAUUUACUGGGCGUAAAGAGCGCGCAGGCGGUCGUUCAAGUCGCGUGUGAAAGCCCCCGGCUCAACUGGGGAGGGUCACGCGAUACUGAUCGACUCGAAGGCAGGAGAGGGUAGUGGAAUUCCCGGUGUAGUGGUGAAAUGCGUAGAUAUCAGGAGGAACACCGGUGGCGAAGGCGGCUUGCUGGGCCAGUUCUGACGCUGAGGAGCGAAAGCGUGGGGAGCGAACAGG